rnacentral:lncRNA from 1 species
UUCUUUACACCUAAGCAACUUUGCUCAUUUGUCUUGCAAACAAUAUCCCAGUUUACCGGGCAAUGAAAUCAACUAAUACAAUCGGUACCCUUCAAUAAAAAUGCUCUUCUUCUUUUAUCAAUUCUAUUAAUGACCUAUUUCAGCAAUUUAUAAAUAGAUAUGUAGUAAAAUGGAAGCAUUCUCAGCACAAAGUUGAUCAAUAUUAAUCUCCCUCCCCAUGAA